AAGAGACAGCAGCAGCCGCGGUAAUACGAAGGGUGCAAGCGUUACUCGGAAUUACUGGGCGUAAAGCGUGCGUAGGUGGUGGUUUAAGUCCGUUGUGAAAGCCCUGGGCUCAACCUGGGAAUUGCAGUGGAUACUGGGUCACUAGAGUGUGGUAGAGGAUAGUGGAAUUUCCGGUGUAGCAGUGAAAUGCGUAGAGAUCGGAAGGAACAUCUGUGGCGAAGGCGACUAUCUGGGCCAACACUGACACUGAGGCACGAAAGCGUGGGGAGCAAACAGGAUUAGAGACCCCGGUAGUCCCUGUCUCUUAUAC
rnacentral:rRNA from 1 species